CGCGGCCUAUCAGCUUGUUGGUGAGAUAACGGCUCACCAAGGCAUCGACGGGUAGCUGGUCUGAGAGGACGAUCAGCCACACUGGGACUGAGACACGGCCCAGACUCCUACGGGAGGCAGCAGUGGGGAAUCUUGCACAAUGGGCGAAAGCCUGAUGCAGCGACGCCGCGUGGGGGAUGAAGGCCCUAGGGUCGUAAACCCCUUUCAGUAGGGACGAAAAUGACGGUACCUACAGAAGAAGCUCCGGCCAACUACGUGCCAGCAGCCGCGGUAAGACGUAGGGGGCGAGCGUUGUCCGGAAUCAUUGGGCGUAAAGAGCUCGUAGGCGGUUGCGUAAGUCGGAUGUGAAAACUCAGGGCUCAACUCUGAGACGCCAUCCGAUACUGCGCUGACUUGAAUCCAGUAGGGGAGUGUGGAAUUCCUGGUGUAGCGGUGAAAUGCGCAGAUAUCAGGAGGAACACCUAUGGCGAAGGCAGCACUCUGGCUGGUAUUGACGCCGAGGAGCGAAAGCGUGGGUAGCAAACAGGAUUAGAUACCCUGGUAGUCCACGCCGUAAACGGUGGGCACUAGGUGUGGGGUCUUUCAACGGAUUCCGUGCCGUAGCUAACGCAUUAAGUGCCCCGCCUGGGGAGUACGG
rnacentral:rRNA from 1 species